rnacentral:lncRNA from 1 species
GUCCCCGAGCUCACACCCCCGGGGCCCCUGAGCAGCUGAGCUCAGGGGCCCGAUGCUGGCAGAAAUCGCCGCCAGAACCGUCUCGCAAGCCCCACCAACAUCGCCAGGUGGAGACCCCACUCGUGUCUCCAGGAGCCCCCCAAGAAAAUGACACAUUGGAGCCCUAACCUCCAAUUCCACCACGUGACCUUAUUUGGAGACAGGGUCUUUCUGGAGAUACAAACUGACAGGGGAAGAGGAUGUGAAGGCACAGGGCGAAGACGGCCACCCCAGAGCCAAGGAGAGAGGCCGGGAAGAUCCUCCCUCCUGCCCCCAGGAGGGCCCAGCCCUGCUCACACCUCCGUCCGGGACGUUGGCCUGCAGAACUGCGGGAGGACACUUUCCGUUGUUGAAACCGCCCGUUUGGGGGACCUUGCAAGGGCAGCUUGAGCAGGUGGACACCCCUGUCCUUGCCGGACAAAAAUGCAUCAGCUUCCCCCCACUCAGCAAGUGACCAGCUACCCAUGGUGAGACGGCUGGAACUGGGACACAGCCCCAGCCACCGCUGCAAACCUGCAGGCUGUGGGAUGGGGGCUGCAGGUUGCCCACCUCCGAGACAUGGCAUCCUCCAGGGUUUAAUCUUCUCUUAUUUGAAGCCUCAGAAUUAAAAUCAGGUAUACCAUGGCCCGGCUCCAAGACACACACCGUGGGCCAGGCACACAGUCGGUGCCCUAUAAAUGCGUGUGAUGCAUUUGUUCUGUGCUUGGUGAGAUUUCUGUGGCAGUAACUUAUUC